AAAAACCAAAACAAACAAAAUACUUUUUGCUUUGAAAUUUUAUGUAUAUUGGAUUUUUGUUUGAACCAUUUCAUGACAUUGUAUUGUAGAUGAAGGAGUGUUCUACUCUCUGGUUAUAAUAGUUACCCCAUUUCUACAUUUGUGUUAUGGUUUGUUGAACUAUUUUACCAAUGAGUUCAAACAAUGAGUUCAAUGUAAUCCAGUGUUUAAUAUGCUGAUACUCGCGUAAACCAAAAACUAUAAUAAUUGUUUUGCUUGUUAUUGCACUUGAUAAGGAAGACAACUCCCAUUAGUGUAAAUGAAUUAUUUCACGUGAUUGUUUUGCCACUCAAAAACGAUUUUGUCAACAUUAUGCCUGCAAGGGAAGUAUUAAAAAAAUUUCUUCCGUCUAAAUGAAGGUUUCUGUGAAAAAUCAUGAUGAAUAUUUUGAAAGCAAAUAGAGUAUGACGAAUUGAUAAGCUCCUCACAUGUCAGGUACAUGUACAUUUUUCAUUACAAAAAAUUAAAAAUAUCUUAUCUGAAAUAUAUUUAUUUUUAAAGGUACUGUGUACAUAAUAAAAUCAAACAAUGUGUAUUAUCUGAUAUGUAUUUAAUUGAAUGGUUAUUGUGUAACUAUAAUACAUGUUGGUGAAUAAACCUGGCGUUGUAAUUGUCUAUAAAUGAAAACGAAAAUAAAAUUGCAAAUGUG
rnacentral:misc_RNA from 1 species